UAGCCGUAAACGAUACUCGCUAGGUGUCGGCCACGGUGCGACCGUUGUCGGUGCCGUAGGGAAGCCGUGAAGCGAGCCACCUGGAAAGUACGGCCGCAAGGCUGAAACUUAAAGGAAUUGGCGGGGGAGCACAACAACGGGUGGAGCUUGCGGUUUAAUUGGAUUCAACGCCGGAAAUCUUACCGGGACCGACAGCAACAUGAAGGCCAAGCUGAAGACUUUGCCGGAUUAGCUGAGAGGAGGUGCAUGGCGUAGUCGUGU
rnacentral:rRNA from 1 species